rnacentral:rRNA from 1 species
UCGAACUAUAGAGUUUGAUCCUGGCUCAGAUUGAACGCUGGCGGCAUGCUUUACACAUGCAAGUCGAACGGUAACAGGUCUUCGGAUGCUGACGAGUGGCGAACGGGUGAGUAAUACAUCGGAACGUGCCUAGUAGUGGGGGAUAACUACUCGAAAGAGUAGCUAAUACCGCAUGAGAUCUACGGAUG